rnacentral:rRNA from 1 species
CACCGCGGUUAUACGAGAGGCCCAAGUCGACAGCCUACGGCGUAAAGAGUGGUUAAGCAGCCCCCCCCCUAACUAAAGCCAAACGCCCCCAAAGCCGUUAUACGCACUCCGAAGGGCAGAGGACUCCCCACGAAGGUGGCUUUAAACCAGCUGAACCCACGAAACCUAUAGAA